rnacentral:rRNA from 1 species
UGGGGAAUAUUGGACAAUGGGCGAAAGCCUGAUCCAGCCAUGCCGCGUGUGUGAAGAAGGUCUUCGGAUUGUAAAGCACUUUAAGUUGGGAGGAAGGGCAGUAAAUUAAUACUUUGCUGUUUUGACGUUACCGACAGAAUAAGCACCGGCUAACUCUGUGCCAGCAGCCGCGGUAAUACAGAGGGUGCAAGCGUUAAUCGGAAUUACUGGGCGUAAAGCGCGCGUAGGUGGUUCGUUAAGUUGGAUGUGAAAUCCCCGGGCUCAACCUGGGAACUGCAUUCAAAACUGACGAGCUAGAGUAUGGUAGAGGGUGGUGGAAUUUCCUGUGUAGCGGUGAAAUGCGUAGAUAUAGGAAGGAACACCAGUGGCGAAGGCGACCACCUGGACUGAUACUGACACUGAGGUGCGAAAGCGUGGGGAGCAAAACAGGAUUAGAUACCCUGGUAGUCCACGCCGUAAACGAUGUCAACUAGCCGUUGGGAGCCUUGAGCUCUUGAGUGGCGCAGCUAACGCAUUAAGUUGACCGCCUGGGGAGUACGGCCGCAAGGUUAAAA